AUACCUUAUUGGAUACUCCCUGUAUAUCCAGGCCCUUGAAAGGGAUUGUGUAUUUCAUUUGAUCCUCAAAAUUGGACCCAGUGUCAUUCAUUUUUACUGGUAAAAUAGGCUACUCCGGCUGAAGAUUAUGUAAGGACUUGCCUCAGUCAACUCUUGGAAAAAAAGAAAAAAGAAAAGCAAUAUCCUGUUUGAGCACCUCGGGUUUCUUCAGCCACGCAACUAGAGUAAUCUUUUGGAGAGAUUCGAGGUAUUUAUUACAUGUGGUCUGUAGCCAAAACUAAAUAAAAUUAGGAUUUUGAGUACAGAAAUUAUAACAAACUGAGAUUUCAAGCAAAGACCACUUUCCCUGGCUGACCUUUAAGAACUUAAGUUCAUUAAGCCUGGGAAAAAUCUUGCAGCGAUCGUUCACUACCAACAGGAUAAAGCAAGACUGGGCCUUCAGCAACCAGACUCCUGGAAAGUUCGUGCCAUCGACUGCUUUGCUCUCUCAGUUUUCCAGAUUGCUAACCCUCCCUCCCAUGGGGGAGCCGGGUGCCCCGAAACAAUCAUUUGGGAGUCACCUCCUGGAGAAAACGUUCUCGUUCCUCCCACUGCCGUUACUUUUGCCUAACGCUGAGCUACCACUGCGAUAUUAGUUAUAUUGUAGCUAUAUUAGGACUGCCUGGCCAGAAACUGGCCCAAGUGAAGACAGAACUUACUUUAGGGUGCAGCCCCGGCGCCCGACACAGCCCAACAUCAAAAUACGAGAAGCAAGGUCGCGCGCGCUCUGCUGGCAAACCCUCUCCUCCAGCCUCCCGCUCCCUCCGCUGCUCGACUCCGGUUUCGGGCCGUGACCUCCGCUACUCCUCCGCCUCGCCCGGCGCUGCCCGGUCGGCCCGAGGCCUGCGCCAGCUCCAAAAGCCCGGGCACACACUGACGCCCAAGUUUAAAGCUACGGAGGCCGCGGGGCCGAAACCGCCGUGGCUCCGGGACACGACGUUUGACGGCCGCGCAUCGGCCUCUGUACCCCGGUCGGCCUUCCCCUCUACCCGGUCGCAGCCUCACGGCAAGUCCAGGCCUUUGGCGCUGGGAUGAAGCGGCUUCCACCCCGACCUCCUCCGCCACGGGCGGCUCGGCUCGGCUCCAGCCCACGGACGCCGCCAGCUACCGCCCCGUUCCGCACCCCCGAGCGCCCUACAGCCAGCCCGCGCCUUCUCACCAUGGUGGCGGCUCGGAUGGCUCAGAUUCCCGCCGGAUUCUCUGCCACAGAGGCCUAGUCGCCAGCCAGCCAGCCGCUGGAUUCCCGCCGCCGCCGCUAACGGAAAUGCUGCCUGCAAAAUGCCGCCGCUAGUGAAGCUACUUCCGGUCCGGCCUCGGACCUGGAGUUCCGGUCUCUGGAACGCAAUUAGGGGGCGGAGCAUUAGCAUCAGCUGACGGAUUGUGUGGUGGUUUUGUUUUGUUUUGUUUUGUUUUGGGUGGAUUUUUCCCCCCCUUUGUUGAUUUUAUUGGAGUUUUCCUCCUCGUUUUGUUUUGCUUUAGACCGGGUCUCACUGGGUCUUGAGCUUCGGAUCCUCCUACCCACCGCGUUCUUAGUACCAGAUGCUGGCGUACACCAUACUUGGGCGGCAAACAUCCUUGGAGGACAGACACCUCCCCAGCUAAAGUCUCCGCUGGAGUGCUUGGUUUACACGCCGAUGUCCCAGACCCCACUCCCAUCCAGUUCUCACCCAGCGCUCUUGUGAACUCACUCUAGGAAGCCACUUCUCUAGCUUCUCUCUAUGUUCUUCCCUCUUUGCAUUUGCUUUUGUCUCACCAGGAGCGCUAGACUCGCAGGUAUAUGCACACCCUCAUGCCCUUACCUCCAGGAUUUAAACAGAAAUGACAGUCCUGGUGAGGACUUUCCUGACCAUUCUUUCUAGGAAAAAAAAAAAAAAAUGCAACUUUCUCAGGCUCUUCGCGCUUCCUUUUUGCUUGUUUUCAAAUAUUGAUUGCUAUCUGACAUACUAAACCGUAGUCCCCUUAUUAUUGGAAGGGCAUGCCUUCCCAGACUCGGAGUAACUCCCCAAGUCACAAUAUGCUAAUUUUUUUUCUACAUAAGCACGCUUACGAUAUGCAUAUCCUUUUCACUUAACGCAAGUGUAUUUUGGCACCCUUGAAUUGACUUUAAAAACCGGGAUUUAAGC
rnacentral:lncRNA from 1 species